AUUGGCCAUUUGAUUACUGUUUGGACUUGAAUUAUGGAUGAGGUAGGCCGGAAUGUGGUAGUGUAGCGGGUGAAAUGCUUAGAUAUUACACAAGAACACCGGAUUGCGAAGGCAGCUUACUAAUUCCAUGAUUGACGCUGAGGCACGAAAGCCGUGGGGGAUCAAACCAGGAUUAGAAUCUCAUGGUUAAUCACGCUGUAAACGAUGAUCACUCGCUGUUUGCGAUACACAGUAAGCGGCUAAGCGAAAGCGUUAAGUGAUCCCACCCUGGGGAGUACGAUCGCAAGGUUGAAACUCUAAGGAAUUGACGGGGGCCCGCACAAGCGGAGGAACAUGUGGUUUAAUUCGAUGAUACGCGAGGAACCUUACCUGAGCUUAAGUGGGGAGUGACAGCUGUUGAAAGGUGAUUUUCUUCGGACACUCUCCAAGGUGCUGCAUGGUUGUCGUCAGCUCGUGCCGUGAGGUGUCGGGUUAAGUCCCAUAACGAGCGCAACCCUUACUGUUAGUUGCCAGCGGGUAAUGCCGGGGACUCUAGCGGGACUGCCACCGUAAGGUGAGAGGAAGGUGGGGAUGACGUCAAAUCAGCACGGCCCUUAUGUCCAGGGCUACACACGUGUUACAAUGGCCGGUACAAAGGGCAGAUACACCGCGAGGUGAUGCUAAUCUCCAAAGCCGGUCCCAGUUCGGAUCGAAGUCUGCAACCCGA
rnacentral:rRNA from 1 species